rnacentral:rRNA from 1 species
AUACGGAGGAUCCAAGCGUUAUCCGGAUUUAUUGGGUUUAAAGGGUGCGUAGGCGGACUGGUAAGUCAGCUGUGAAAGUUUGCGGCUUAACCGUAAAAUUGCAGUUGAUACUGUCAGUCUUGAGUGUGCAUGAGGUGGGCGGAAUUUGUGGUGUAGCGGUGAAAUGCUUAGAUAUCACGAGGAACUCCAAUUGCGAAGGCAGCUCACUGGGGCAUAACUGACGCUGAUGCACGAAGGUGUGGGUAUCAAACAGGAUUAGAUACCCUGGUAGUCCACACAGUAAACUAUGAAUACUCGCUGUUUGCGAUAUACAGUAAGCGGCCAAGCGAAAGCAUUAAGUAUUCCACCUGGGGAGUACGCCGGCAACGGUGAAACUCAAAGGAAUUGACGG